AGAUUUUAUAAGAAAGUCGGAAUAGUGCUUUCGCGGGUCUAGUAACUGGUUAGCCAAUUUAUGUCCAACUGAUGCAAAAUGAUUAUUUAAUAUAUCUGGGAUAUGGGUUACGUUUCUUAUAAGUCUAUUACCAUUAUUAUGGUCUUUGAUAGCUUGAAUGCAGGAUGAUUUCUGAGUUUUACGAUUCAUAAUAGUAUUAAUUCCUUCCCAUGUUUUUUUCAUAUUCGUCAAAUGUUUGUUAAA